UCAUCGGUUUUAAAUGAGGAGAGGAUGUUCAUUCUUUCACCAUGGCAAAGCUCCUCUCUGAGCUUCAUGUCCUUGGCUGAAUCAUGUGCAGAACCAUUUAGGCUUGCAACAAGCUGAUGAAGCUCAGAAAGUGUCUCCUUAAUUGGCGUCAUCAGCAGCGGCAUCUUACGGACCUUGAGAGAGCAACCCAAGGACUCCGGCCUCUCCAUGAAAUGAAAACCUGUGUACAGCUUUGCAAAGGGAGCACCCUUUGACUGCACAUUCUUAUCCAGUUGGGCUGACACCAGCCCUGCAGCAGCUACCUCCUGUUGAUAUCGGAGUUUGCUCUCGGUCAAAACUUCCGACACCAGCCCUGAAGCAGCUACCUCCUGUUGAUAUCGGAGUUUACUCUCGGUCAAAACUUCCGACACCAGCCCUGCAGCAGCUAACUCCUGUUGAUAUCGGAGUUUGCUCUCGGUCAAAACUUCCGACACCAGCCCUGCAGCAGCUAACUCCUGUUGAUAUCGGAGUUUGCUCUCUGUCAAAACUUCCGACACCAGCCCUGCUGCAGCUAACUCCUGUUGAUAUCGGAGUUUGCUCUCGGUCAAAACUUCCGACACCAGCCCUGCAGCAGCUACCUCCUGUUGAUAUCGGAGUUUGCUCUCUGUCAAAACUUCCGACACCAGCCCUGCAGCAGCUACCUCCUGUUGAUAUAGGAGUUUACUCGUGGUCAAAACUUCCGACACCAGCCCUGCAGCAGCUAACUCCUCUUGAUAUCGGAGUUUACUCUUGUACACAGCAGAAGCUGCCUCCACAUGGAUGUUGGUGGCAAGUGUGGAUGCACUAGGCUUCAGCUGUUGCAAGAUCUCUAGUGGCAGGUCUAGUCUUGACUGGCUAGUGCCCUCCUCAUUGGUGAACAAUGAAAGUCAGUUAUUUUACACUGGCCCCAGUGAUCAGUACAGGAGGCUGGUUGUAGCCUACUUUCUGAGGAGCAGAGGCGGGCUGUCCUAGAGGAGUGCCACAACAACCCUGGCACUGGGAACCACGGGGGUGUGAGGGCAACCAUCGACAGGGUUGUUGCGGGAUACUACUGGGGCGGUAUCAAGGCAGAUGUGGCAGAUUGGGUCAAAAGCUGUCACAGAUGCCAAAAAAAUGACCCCUUGAAGACCGUGGCCCCUGCCCUUCACCCUAUUAAGGUGACAGAGCCAUGGGAGGUUGUCGGAAUGGACCUUAUUGGUCCACUGACAACAACUGAGAAAGAAAAUCAGUAUGUCCUCACAGUGACAGACCUUUUUACAAAGUGGGUCAUCACCGAGCCUCUGAAGUCUGGCUCCAGUGUUGAGGUGCACUGAAGCACUUGUGCCAAAGCUGUACACUUUCGGUAUGGUCCGAAAAAUUAUAACAGACAGGGGUCGUGCAUUUGUCAACGAGGUAUGUGUGAUUAUCCUCACCCUUCACUACUACAGGUCAUAUGACAAUCAAAAUUCACACUGUUUUAAACGGUCAUUUGUCAACAAGACCAAUAAGUAUUGAAACUAACCAUAUGUGUCUGAAUUAUGUACACAUGAAUGCACACAUAUUUGCAGCGCUAAAUAUCAAGCAUGCCAUCACGAGUGCU